UACGAAGGGUGCAAGCGUUACUCGGAAUUACUGGGCGUAAAGAGCUCGUAGGCGGUCUGUCACGUCGGCUGUGAAAUCCCGAGGCUCAACCUCGGGUCUGCAGUCGAUACGGGCAAGCUAGAGUAUUGCAGGGGAGACUGGAAUUCCUGGUGUAGCGGUGAAAUGCGCAGAUAUCAGGAGGAACACCGGUGGCGAAGGCGAGUCUCUGGGCAAUAACUGACGCUGAGGAGCGAAAGCGUGGGGAGCGAACAGG
rnacentral:rRNA from 1 species